rnacentral:rRNA from 1 species
AUGGAGGAGAAACUCCAAUGGCUGUGCUUGUCUUGCCUCAUGGUCUUUGCCUCCUUCUUUUCCCUGUCUGGGAGUACGUCGGCUGCUCACCACCACCAGCGAGACGUCCUCCACCCGGUGGUGCUGCUGCCAGGCUUCUCCUGCGGCCAGAUCGAGGCCCGCCUCACCGACGCCUACGACUCGCCGUCGCCACUCUGCGGAGUACGCAAGGGGGACGGCCGGUGGUUCCGGCUAUGGAAGAACAGCACGGGCCUGCAAGACCUCCCCGACGUGCCGUGCUUCGCCGACCAGCUCCGCCUGGUUUAUGACCCCACGGCCGGCGACUACCGCAAUGUGCCCGGCGUCGAGACCCGCGUCCUCUCGUUCGGCUCCACCCGCGGCUUCCUCUCCGACGACCCUGCCGACAAGGAGAUCUGCAUGGGAAGGCUCGUGGAGGCGUUGGAGCGAAUCGGGUACAUCGACGGCGAGAGCCUCUUCGGCGCUCCGUACGACCUCCGGCACGCGCCCGCCGCGCCGGAGCUGCCCAACAGGGAGUUCUCCAGAUUCCGCCGGAGUCUGACGGCGCUCGUGGAGCACGCGAGCAGGAGGAACGGGGGCAAGCCGGCCAUCCUCGUGUCGCACAGCCAGGGCGGCCUGCNNNNNNNNNNNNNNNNNNNNNNNNNNNNNNNNNNCGCGCUCGAGUUCCUCAAUCGGAGCCCCCUGGCGUGGCGCCGGAGGCUCGUCAAGCACUUCAUCAUGGCCUCCACGGGCGCCGGCGGGAUCGUGGUCACCAUGAAGGGCCUCGCCGCCAGCGACGGCGCCGGCGUCCUGUCGAUGCGGCGCGUCAAGAGGAGCUUCGAGUCGGCCUUCGCCGGGCUGCCGUCGCCCGCGGUCUUCGGCGGCGAGACGCCCCUGGUCGUCACGCGGGCGAGGAACUACACCGCGCGCGACAUGCCGGAGUUCCUGUCGGCGGCCGGGCUCCCGGCGUCCGCCGUGAGCCUGUACCUGUCGCGGGCGCUGCCGGUGGCGCUCAACCUGAGGGCGCCGCUGGUGCCCAUGACGUGCGUCAACGGCGUGGGCGUGCCCACCCCGGAGAAGCUGGUAUACUGGGACGGCGACGUCGACAAAGACCCUGAGGUGCUGCACGGGGACGGCGACGGAGUGGUCAAUCUGGCGAGCAUACUUGCCCUGGACGCGGUUUUCGGUGAGGAUCCGGGGCAGCGGGGAUGCUACAGGUCUAUCAAAAUGGCAAACACCACCCACAUCGGCGUCGUGUCGGAUGCUUUCGCCGUUGAGCGUCUAGUCCAUGAGAUUCUUGAAGCAGGUCGCGCCAACCAGACAUGUGUGCUACCCACUGCCGGCCACUGGCCACUCAGAAUAUGA